AGAUGCGAUCAUACCGAUGUUAAUGCACUGGAUCCCAUCAGAACUUCGCAGUUAAGCGAGCUUGGGCUAGAGUAGCACUGGGAUGGGUGACCUUUCGGGAAGUCCUAGUGUUGCACCCU
rnacentral:rRNA from 1 species